UUUAUGAUUGUAUUUAUAUAAUUGUAAGUGGUAGAGGAGCAUUGUGUACGGAGCGAAGCUGUACCGUAAGGAGCAGUGGACUGUACAGAAGAGAGAAUGCCGGUAUGAGUAGCGAAAAAAGGAGUGAGAAUCUCCUUCGCCGAAAGCCUAAGGUUUCCUGAGGAAGGCUCGUCCUCUCAGGGUUAGUCGGGACCUAAGCCGAGGCCGAAAGGCGUAGGCGAUGGANNNNNNAAAUCCCUUUACCCUUAAGGUCUUUUAGUGAUGUGGAGCCAAAAGAGGUGAAGCCACUGGAUGAGUCGCCAAGAAAAACCACUAAUGAGAUUUAUAGUACCCGUACCGCAAACCGACACAGGUAGACGGGAAGAGAAUCCUAAGGCGCGCGAGAGAACCCUUGUUAAGGAACUCGGCAAAAUGACCCCGUAACUUCGGGAGAAGGGGUACCCAUUAGGAAUACCUAGUGGGUCGCAGUGAAAAGGUCCAAGCGACUGUUUAUCAAAAACACAGGUCUCUGCUAAGUCGUAAGACGAAGUAUAGGGGCUGACGCCUGCCCGGUGCUGGAAGGUUAAGGAGAAGGCUUAGCGCUUAUGCCGAAGGUCUGAACCUAAGCCCCGGUAAACGGCGGCCGUAACUAUAACGGUCCUAAGGUAGCGAAAUUCCUUGUCGGGUAAGUUCCGACCUGCACGAAUGGCGUAACGAUGGCGACGCUGUCUCAACGAGGGACUCGGUGAAAUUAUAGUACCUGUGAAGAUGCAGGUUACCCGCGACAGGACGGAAAGACCCCGUGGAGCUUUACUGUAGCCUGAUAUUGGAUUUUGGUAUAGCAUGUACAGGAUAGGUGGGAGACUUUGAAGCUGGCAUGCUAAUGUCAGUGGAGUCGCUGGUGGGAUACCACCCUUUCUACAGCGGAAUUCUAACUGGAGGCCAUGAACUGGUCACAGGACAUUGUCAGGCGGGCAGUUUGACUGGGGCGGUCGCCUCCCAAACAGUAACGGAGGCGCUCAAAGGUUCCCUCAGUGCGGUUGGAAAUCGCGCGAAGAGUGUAAAGGCAGAAGGG
rnacentral:rRNA from 1 species